ACCCCCCUGACCACCUAGGAGCCUCCUAGCGCUUUUUGAAGCAUUAGAUGUCGUUCUUGUAGCAAAAUUAUUUGUGGUACUUAUCUGAUUUUAACCCUUUUGGUUCAUAUGGUUAUUUUUCUUUCGUUGUAAUAUUCAUAGGCAAUUAGUUCUUUUAGUCUCUAUAUUCUUUUUUCAUGUGUCUUGCUCGUUGGUUUCUCAGAACAUAAAAUGCAUUAGAUAGGCAGUAGCAAGAAAACAAAUACGGUGAAUAUGUUUCCAACUUUACAAACAUUAUGUCCAGAAAAACUCAUGUGUACACAUAGGGGUGGCUAUGUAUGAUACAAUGCUUUCAAUCAAGAAGAUAAUGCUAAGGAAGCAGUUCUACAAUAUUGUCCUUCUAGUACAUGCCCGACAAACAAUUGAAUUUUCUUGAGACCAUUUUAUAGCUUGAAUGUUCCUUGUUUGCGAUAUUUAGACUGGUGGUGCUUUGUUGAGACCAUUUUAUUGUCCUUCCUUUUGAGUGGAAAUAGAUGGAUGUUCAGAUGGAUGAAUUAAGGUGCUUUGUUGAGGUGAUUAGGAGGUGUGAUUCUUUCUUUUCAAUAAGGUGCAUGUUAGCAGUGGUGCUGUAAGAAGGGCUCAAAAUUUUUUUUAUCUCCAGGCCCAUCCACAAGGAUUUCCAUGGGCGGAGAGCAGAUAAUACUAGAACGAAAUGUAAUGAAUGGGCUUUCAGUGACCAAGACUUGUGUAGUGAGCAAGAAAGAAAAGUAAUUAACUAGGUUAUUUCUCAAUAAAAAUUCACAUGUUACUCUAUUCCUAUAAAAUGAAAAACAGAUCUUUGGGUCAUCAUAUAAAUCAUAUAUAAUUCUGUUUCCACUUGUGCUUAUUUAGGAAAAGUAAGUUAUUGCAGGUUGAAUUCGGAAUGGAUAUGUAGAACUUUUGCCUUCUCGUAUGGCGUUUAGAUGGUCUGAUGUAUAAACAAUCAUGUAUAUGUGCUAUUGUUAAAUGUUCUCUCUUAUAUCUUGAGCUAGUUUCCCAGUUUCUUGAUAUUCUAUGCAAUUAGAUUUCUCCCUUGAAAAUGUGCUAAUAAAGACAUGUUGACUUUGGAUUGGCAGGGAAGAAUUUAGUUGGUUGUUUGCAUCAAGCAAUGGAAAGACAUAGUCUAUAUAGGCGUGUCUCAGCCCUAGUUUCCUUGACGAGGCCGUGGCACUCUUUAUCUGCCAUAACAAUGCAGGAACACCCUCUGAUACCAUCUGGUUCUGCUAACAGGGGCUCAAACCUUGAUUCCCAUGGCCUAAUUCAAGAAGCACACAACUUUAUGACCUUCAGCAAGGAGAUGUGUAUUUGGGAAGGAUUUCUUGGCUGGUGUUUCUAGUGAUUGGAUUCUCGUAAAAUUAAUAAAAUGGACAUUUGUUGUUAAUUGCGAAGAUCAGGGAUCCCUGAAUAGGUUGGAUUUUUGGUGAUUCUAUUUGCACACAUAUUGGAUGAGGGUCUAGACAUUUGAAGUGCUCAUGGCCAGAACUUGCCCAAGCAUAUGUAGCAUUGUAAUGGCUUACAAAUGAACUUCCUACGCCCACCAUCGGAAGCAGUCAUUGAUAUGACCCAACUUGUGGACACAAAGAGUAUAUGAGAAAUCAUCCCACAUGCUUAAUUAAGUUGAGUAAUUGGUAAUCUUAAAGCAAUAUAUUAUCUGAGAUGUAGUUA